UACAGAGGUCUCAAGCGUUGUUCGGAAUCACUGGGCGUAAAGGGUGCGUAGGUGGCGUGGUAAGUCAGAUGUGAAAGCCCGGGGCUCAACCUCGGAACUGCAUCCGAUACUACCAUGCUAGAGUACUGAAGGGGUGACUAGAAUUCUCGGUGUAGCAGUGAAAUGCGUAGAUAUCGAGAGGAAUACCAAAGGCGAAGGCAGGUCACUGGGCAGUUACUGACACUGAGGCACGAAGGCCAGGGGAGCAAACGGG
rnacentral:rRNA from 1 species